UUUUUUUUUUUUUUUUUUUUUGCUGAUAACAUUUAUGAGACAUUUGUUUCCAUGGCCUAGGUUCCUGGUCUGAUAAAACUUUAGUGCGGAGCGAGUGUUGGUAUUUUUAUUUAUUUAUUUAUUUUUCUUAAAUAGAGCUUCAUUGAGGUAGAUCUGGAGAAAAGAGAGCUAUAGAUAAGUCUUUAGUGAUUUGAUCUAACAUUCAAAUAUUAGCUUUUGAAAUAAAUAAAGUUCUAAACUGUAAUUAUUAAUCAAAUUAUGUCGAGUGUCAUUACAUAUGAAAAAGUGUCUCAUCUUCAAAAAAGUCAUAAAAAUGAAUAGAUCAAACAAAGCAGUCUUAAAAAUACUCACUGAUACUCAUUUGACAUCAUUUAUUUAAAAUUUUAGAAUAGUUAGCUUGAAUAUAAGAAUGUUGAAAAAUUUAUAAGAAACUCAAUAGAAAAGAUGAAACUCAUAAACCAAGGCAGACAUAUUGCAGCCUACUACACCAUGCUUGUCUCAUAAUAGUUUCCUUAUAAAGAUUUGUUGGCACAUUGACUGCUUGGCUUGAAGACCAUAACAGUACAGCAUAAAUUUUUUACGAGGUGCUCUCUAAAUACCUCGCACUUAUCUUAAGUGCAACUUUUGCCGUAUUCUGUGACUGACUCUAUCCUUUAGUGUAUUAUAACUGACAGACACAACCUUGAGUUAUUAGCUUUGCUUUAUUUUCUAUAUUUUCUUUUAAAUCUAAUAACACAGGAACCGUAAUGUUUACAUUUCACAUCCUCUUAGCCCAUCUCAUGUUAAAAGAGGGUAGAGGAAAAAGCCGUAGGAAAUUUCAUGAAGCGUGCCUCAGCUCAGAGCCAGAACUCAUGCUCAGAAUUUUGCUGGGAGCGAGAGACAGGCUAAAGUUAUGAGCAACAAAUGAGAAAGGUAAGAGAUCAAGAAAAUCUAUACAAAGAAAGCUGCAAGACUUUCUGGCUCUGGAGGCAGAGAGGUGUGGGUUUGCAUCCUGGCUCUACCACUUCACCUAAAUGAGUCUCAGUUUCUUCACUGUUGAAGUGGGGCUGCUAGUGAGUGUGAAGGUUAGAGGCAAUAUGGUUAGGUUCUAGAAUAUAGUAGGAGCUCAACAGUGUUAUUAUCAUUAAUCCAAAAUUUUUGAUGUAAAAAGGUAGUAAUAGAUAUCAUCCAGGAAAUAUGGUCUAAACACUCUCCCAAAGUACAACCAUGAGCAAGUAGCAGUGGAGCUGAGGAAAGCUGGAAACUGUUGAGGUCUUGGGCUUCAAGGGAGUUGUGGGGAGCUGUUCUUCCACAGGUUGUAAGAAACUUGCCAGCGAGCCGUUGCCCUCAGUAUCCCCUGACUGAGGCUCCGAUCCAAACAGGCCCGUUAGUGUGACCCGUGACACUAACAUCUACCCAAAGAUUCUCACCACAAUUUAGCAGGUCACUGCCUCCUUCAGGCACCCGAGUGAAUAGCAGUCCAGACUCCUUGGACACUACAAUUCCCAUGUGUAUAUGUGGGCAGGGAAGAUAGAGUACAGAAGGGAGAGGCCAGCCCUUAGUGCUCUAAUAAGCUUACUCUCCCAGCCCCACCACUUAGCUUUCUCCGUCCUUGCACCCCUCCACCAUUAACUCAGCAGAUCUCCUAAAUCUGGAAAAGGGACUUUUGAAAAAUUUUCAUUGCUGAUGCCCUAAAUCUCUCCUUUAGCUGCCAGCCAUCCUCUGUCUCUGCAGCAUGGGAAUUUUUGCAAUCUCCAUCUAGAUGAUAACUUUAAACAUGGAAAGUAGGUUAGCUCCCAUUCUACAGAUUUAAGGAGGAUCCUUAGCAAUGAGUAAAUCCCAUAUUUCCAUCUUCAGUAGGUACAUGUAAUGCUUGUUCCACAAUUCAUAAUAUCUGAACUUUUAGUUUAAAACUGUUUGGUGCUGGAGCUGGAAUUCACUCAUAGGCACAUGCUCUGGAUUCUACAUUCUCAUUUUCAAACCAUACAAGUUCCCUCUAACUAGGGUGAUAGGGAAAUGGGGUGAAUGGAACUAAAAAGGUAGGUUAAGUUGUAUAGAGUCUUGAAAGCUAAACCAAGGAGUUCGAGUCUUGCCAUUUAUGCAGCCUAAAAUCAGAGAGACGAAACAAAGUGGUGUUUGAGGAAAAUUAAUCUGAUGGCAGAAUGCAGGAUUUGAUAGAAGAAGGAAGAUAUUAAAAGCCCAAGAGAAUGUCUAGGAGGGUAUUAACAUUAAUCCAGUGGUGACAGGAUGGGAAUACAGCCUGGAAGGUAAUAUGGGAAUUCAAAGGGACUGAUGGAUGUGAGCUAGGAAACGUUGACAGGACCUAGUGACUGGAGUGGAAAGUAAAAAUAGUGACUCUGGUUUUAUAACUAAAUGGUAAGGAGAACCAGUUUUAAAAAAAACAAAUGAAUAAAUAAACAGCUAAAAUCUCAUGAGUAAGAAGUGUUGUUAAUGAAUUACUUAACCUGAGCCUAAAUUUAAUAUUCCUUAACUUAAACUUCCUCUUGUGUUAUCUUCAGUAUAAACAUUACUCUCUAAAUCCUCAUUAACUCUUUACACUUUAAGCUAAAUGAUCCUGAUAUUAUUGUUUUUCUCAUCCCUUAUUUACCAAAUACAUAUUCAUAUAUUGGCUUAUUUGGGGGCAGAAUUAACAUGCUUGUACCUUCUCCCACCUCUCUGUGAGGGGAAGAAGAGAUUCUGGAGAUAAAAAUAAGAAUGAUAGCUCUCCUUUAUUGAACCCUUAUUGUAUACCUCUCUCUUAUAUUUAGCUCUUAAAUACAUUAUUUAAUGUCCACAACAACAGUAUGAGAUAGGCAUUACUAUUACUUCAUUUUACAGGAGAGAAGGCUGAGGCUUAGAGGAGUGUAGGAACUUCCUCAAGGUCAAAGGACUCAUAAGUGACAAGCCAAUAUUGUAUCUUCUGUCUUCUCCAGAGCCCAUACGCUUCUCCUUUAAAGAUGGUGGAAUAUGAUAACUGAUUCUAAAUUCAUUUGGAAAAAAAAAUCUUCUAAAUGAAAAGGAAAAGUCAGGCAAAGUCUGACAUUCUUUUUAAUGUAAUGGCUUAUUUAUUGUCGUAGUUUACCUGUCAAGUGAGAAUGUAACUGGUUUUAUUUCAGACUCGUUUGUGAAAAAGACUGUUACCACACAUCAGUGCCCUAGAACAUGGAUGUAACAUAUUUUCUAUGAAAGAGAAUUUGAUAUGAGUUAGAAAAUCUUGAACUCCAUCCAAUAAUUUAUCUGGAUUAUGUAUAUGUGUUAUAGUCUACCCCAUGAAGAGGUCUGACUAUUAUAAAACAAGUAUUACAUGCUCAAUUAAAGAGGUUUUUAAAAAGCCAGGUAAAUCAGAAAUCAGAAUGGGUAGAGGUCAGUCAUUUAAAGACACCAUCUCCAAAGUAUGGGGAUGGCUUCAGCUGAUGAUUUUCCUAUUAUCAUUCAUCAAACUCUUCAUAUGAAAAACCCACAUAAGGGAAUUGUUGCAAGAUUAAGUAUUCACGUUUAAUUUAUUCUAGAAGGUCUUCCUUCACUUCAGACACAUUUUUCAAAUCUGGCAUUCAAAGUAGCUACUACUUUGGAGUAGCAGCAACAACAGGCUUACUAGGAUCCCAAGUGGCACUUAUUCAGUGGAGUAAUUGGAAGCUGCAGUGCUUAUGCAAAUAAAUGUCCCUCCGAGGCAAGAGUGAGAGAUUUGCCCUGAAACUACAGCUUCGAAAAGCUGGUGCUAAAUGGAGAAGAAGAGACGAAGAAGAUAGAGAAUGGGAUUUAAGGUAGAAAUAAUGAACAAAGAUGACUGUUUCCAGCUUUAAUCUAAGGAUGUUUGCGGUAGAUAUUCAAGUCUUCGUGUAUGUAGCAAGUACCCAUCUCAACCUAUAAAACAAAGGGGAGAGGAAAUGUAUUUUUGUUUUUCUAUAUAGUACCUUUUAAUUUAAUUCAUUAUGAAUUCUCAUUCUACCAAGAGAGAGGCAUGGUCCUAUGCCUGAGCCAAAAAAAAAAAAAAGAGCAUUCCAAAUGCCAUGUCUAGAAAUCUUUACUCUCUGGGCCAUCAGAAUUUCACUUCCUACCUCGUGAAUAGCUUGGAACUUUUUUUUAUAUUUAUGUUUUCUUUACUGUUAACGCUCUCUUACAAAUGAUUUUCAAAUAAACAAAAACACAUUCAAGGAAAAGUUUGAUUCAUUUGCAAGGCAGAGUCUGUGGAUUUCUCGUUGCUGGUCCUCUUUGCACUUUCAUUGGAACAAACAGUGCAAUUUUUAUCCUUUCUGUUUUUAGAGCAGCAGCUGUAAAAGUAAUUAAUGGCUAAAGGAACUCUAGCACAUCCUGCAGAAGGCCAUUCUGCAUUCAGCACGAGCUGUGGAACCAAAGUGGCUGCCUCUGUAUGCUGGUGGACCACAAGAGAGCAUCCUGGUGAAUGCCACAGGACUCCUAUCUUUAUCUUGGAAUCUCUGAAGAUAAAUUUAUUUAAAUUUAUAUUGGCCGCUGACACCCUUAAGAAAAGCUUGUAUCACCAGGUGUUUUCAUUAUUAUUUCCACUGAUGACUUUGGUGCAUGCGCAACUUUUUUAAUCUAUGGAAGUUGACGAUGAUGACCUCAGACUUUCUAUGUGUUAUCAGUUAAGAAAUGAGGAGAGUCACAAAUUUUAUAAAAGAAUAUGCAUUUCCCAGAUUUUUUUUUUUUUUUCUCUUCCAUGUCAAUCUCCACUUUUUUCUUUGGCUUUCUACCUUCCAAAUACACUUGUGCAGAAACAUCCCUGCAGUUAGAUAAUUUCAGAUAUAAUGAGGAAUCUGGCCGUGAGUGCCAUCUGCAUAGUCAGUGGAUCUGAUGUGUAAUGGAAGUCAGAUGAGCUGGCGUCCAGGCCUGGCAAGGCCCUUGUUACCUGUGACCUUGAGUAAUUUGCUCGACCCCCUGGAGUCUCAAUUUUCUGAUCUAUAAAUAAGGAUAACAGUACCUGCCCGAUGUACUUCACAGUGCUGUUGAGAGAUAAUGAAUGUGAAAGUGCUUUGUAAACUGUGAUGAUCUGUACCAACACAAGAUGACGGUGUUGAUUUUGAUAGAACAGGAGUCUCUACAAAGAGUGGUGGGAUAGAGCAAUCAGCCUAGGAUUUCUUUCUUCCAUCUCAUUGGCUCAUCUGAUAACAUUGAGGCAACCACUCUAGGCUGCAUUUGUCAGGUGGACUGGGAGAGCACACAUUUACCAAAUAUAGAGAAGGAAGGGGAGCCUUCUGAACUCCUUGUUUCUGCCCCUGGAGCCAAGCCCAGCUGCAUCUCCAAAGGAGGUUACUAGUCUCAAAACUGCCAGGCGCACUUCAUUCUGCCUUAGCUUUGCUGCUGCUCCUCUGAAAUGCUCAGAGGAAGUUAAGUUGUUAUGGCUGUUGCUCCACCCUUGGGAGAAUGCCCAGGGGAUGUGGACAGCCCCCAGGCAGCCCACAGGAAGCUGGACCAGAAAGUGCAGAGUCACUGUGCACCCAAGCGCCAGCAUACCCCGCCCUUCUCCACCACAUACACUUUCAGUGGGUUCUCUGGCUAAACAUCUGCUAUUGGACAUUUGAGGGAAACGGGAUGUGUUUUGUUAGUCUUUUAUUCACUAUUGUGAGAAGAUAACAUUUAUCCAAUUGGAAUUGGGUAGAAUUGGUAAAAAUUAUGACUGGACUGUAGAUCCAAGGGCCUAAAGUGAUUCUGACCGUGACCAAGUAAGAACACUAAAAAUUGAAAAUAGCAUUGAAGGUAUUUGUGAAGAUUCAUUUUAGGUUUAUUUUUUCCCUAUUUUAUUCAGGUUUGAGUGUAAGAAGACUUAAAAGAAUCCCGUAAAAAUGCAUCUGCUAAACUGUAAAUAACAAUAUUCAUUUCCCAAGUAUCUUGUUUUGUAAUGUCUUUAAAAGAGCAGUUCUCAAACUUCUUGGCCUUGGAAUCUCCUUUAAAUUCAUUAAUUAUUUAGAGCCCCAAAGGGUUUUUGUUUAUGAGGAUUAUGUAAAUGAAUAUUUACUAUAUUAAAAGUUAAACCUAGGAAGUUUUUAAAAUACAUGUGAAUUCAUUCAAAAUUAACAAAAAAUAAACCUACUACUUGUUAACAACAGAGCACUGAGAUCAUGUGCUAUCACUUCUGAAAACCUCAGCUGUACAUUUAUGGGGGCAUGAGAAUGAGACAGAUAAUUUCUUUGUUUUUGCAUUUUGAUAACCAAUUUGAGAAGUUACACUCAAACUUUUUGAUUUUUUCCCCCAAAGAUAUUAAAUCCAAAUAAGAAUGAUUUUUAGAAAUUUUAUUGAAGUAUGGUUGAUUUACAAUAUUAUAUUAGUUUCAGGUCUAUAGCAUAGUGAUGUGAUAUUUUUGCAGAUUAUACUCCAUUUAAAGUUGUUACAAAAUAAUGGGUAUAUUUCCCUGUGCCAUAUACCUCACUGAACCUG
rnacentral:lncRNA from 9 species